UACGGAGGGCGCAAGCGUUGUUCGGAAUCACUGGGCGUAAAGCGCGUGUAGGCGGCUUGGCAAGUCGGGUGUGAAAUCCCGAGGCUCAACCUCGGAACUGCACUCGAAACUGCUUGGCUCGAGUCCCGGAGAGGGUGGCGGAAUUCCCGGUGUAGGGGUGAAAUCCGUAGAUAUCGGGAGGAACACCAGUGGCGAAGGCGGCCACCUGGACGGUGACUGACGCUGAGAAGCGAAAGCGUGGGGAGCAAACAGG
rnacentral:rRNA from 1 species